AUGAGGAUGGUGAUGAGAGUCAUGGUGGUUGUGCUUUCUGCUGUGUUGACUGACAGAUUGAUUUUGAGUAAUGAGUUUCAUGUUCAGGAGGUUUUUGUACAGCCACUUAAUGAGUUUGUAUCACUGUGGUGGACUUUUGGUGGAGGGACCAAACUAAUCGUCGACUUGGGUGUGGUGCAGCCCACCUUGACCAUCCUCCCUCCCUCCAAAGAGGAGGAGAAGCAGAGUAGUGCCACUGUGGUGUGUUUGGCCACCGGGGGCUUCCCCUCAAACUGGAAGCUGGGCUGGAAGAUGGGGGGCACCAGCACAUCCUCAGGUGUGUCAAACAGCCUGGAGGUCCUGGAAACAAAUGGCCACUACAGCUGGAGCAGCACCCUGAGCCUCUCUGUAGACCAGUGGAAGAAGGCGGGCUCAGUGAGCUGUGAGGCCAGUCUGAGUGGACAGAGCCCCGUCACUCAAACCUUGAACACUGACCAGUGCUCAGAGUAGAGCUUCAGCAACACUUCCUGUCUGCAAAUGAUGUGUUUUAUAAUUUGAUGAAGCUACAUGUUUCUGCUGUUGCGAUAUUUCUGCAGAUGUUUGACUCUUGUUGAUGUGCAUUCAGAUUUCAUCAGCUAAUCUUUUCCAUAUUGUGCUUUAAAAUCAUGCUGUAAAGAAAAAAAAGUCUUCAUCACAAAAUAAAAUCACAGCUCAUGAAAAAUCAUUUUUGUUUUUUGUUU